rnacentral:rRNA from 1 species
GACGAACGCUGGCGGCGUGCCUAAUACAUGCAAGUCGAGCGAAGCGGCGGAUGGGUGAGUAACGCGUGGGUAACCUGCCCUUAAGUCUGGGAUACCAUUUGGAAACAGAUGCUAAUACCGGAUACUAAAGGAUGGACCUGCGAUGCAUUAGCUAGUUGGUAAGGUAACGGCUUACCAAGGCGAUGAUGCAAAGCCGAGUGGGGAGACUGAUCGGCAACAGGGGGACUGAGACACGGACCAAACUACGCCGGGAGGCAGCAGUAGGGAAGCGUACACAAUGGACGAAAGUCUGAGGGAGCAACGCCGAGUGAGAGAAGAAGGUUUUCGGAGCGUAAGGCUCUGUGGUUGGGGAAGCGGUAAACAACAAGAAAGUAACGGCUAACUACGUGCCAGCAGCCGCGGUAAUAC